UUGCAGAGGAAAGCUACUAAGCUAGGUUGUACGGGCAAUGAUGAUACAAAGUCAUGCACCACUCUGAAUGAGGGAAUUUUCUCUCUUUGGGCUGACAAACGAACUUUUUACCCAUUUUUCAUCUGAGCCUUUACUUACAUAGUUACAUGUGUGCUUUCUCCUGUCACGUUUUUUGUGCUGCUUAAUAUGAUACUGAUUUGGUUGCGUUUCAUGUAUUUCUGGAGCAGCGAUUUUUUGAGAACUAGAUGAUGUGGAUUGCCUAAUCCAACCAUGAUGCGGACUGAAUUUUAUUUGAGGUCAAAUCUAAUUGCUGCUGAUGGUUCUCAAGUAUACCUCCCCUUGGCCAUUGCUUUUCCUUGUUUUGUUUUGGAUUUGUUGCUUGAAUCAGUUUUUUGAUAGGGUACAAGGACACCACAAAUUCACACCCACUACACACACCACACCACACGCACACAUGUGUCCAAUACACACAUUCGAAAGGGAUUGAGAGGCCUAGUCAUCUAGUGUGUGGCAAACACGCAGAACCACUGACCGCACACACAUGUGUAAACCAUACCGGGAAAAACCCCAGAGUGAGGCAUGGGGUGUCGAUCCUAGGGAUCGGACCCAUGCUCCGUCGCACACCUGGCGAACGAACGAACUGGGCUGCGGUCCAGUCCUCGCUUUCAAUCAGUUUUGGUGAAUAGAAAUGGUUUUCAAAGAGAGUUGAAGCCAAUUUGCAGAGCAAAGGCGCCAUAUAAGUGAUGAUCUUUGCAUUGAAGGUUGGCUACAACAAAAGUGUAGUUCUCCGUGCUGCUCAGAUUUCUAUCUGUUCUGUGACAUCCUCGAACAAGCUGCCACACCAUCUCUUCUUUUGGAUUUGAGCUUAUAUUUUUUUUAUCUCCUCUGUUUUCUGUUCUUAAUGAUUGUGUAAAAUGGUAACUAUGAAACUUUACAUGAAUGAUAUAAACAAAAAAGUGAUCUGAUAGUAUGAUGUACUUUGGUUGAUGGGUUUCUUAUCGAUUGCUUUCUCCACAGCCUUGCAUUGAAUACCAUAACAUUCAUUAUUCUUUUUGGUUAUUGUGUAAUCAUAUUGUAUCUCAAUUUUGCAUUAUAUGCUUUCCUAUUUAUGUGAUUAUGUGUCCAUCUGUCACUAGGUUGGUGAACAAUUUUAGACUAUGUUGCAGACUCAAACUGUCGAUGUAUCUGCAUUCUGCCUGGUUUGCUUUCUUAUCUUAAAUUGUGUUUUACUAGAUAGUAAAUAAGUUCAUGCUAUUGCCUUUAAUGCUUGUCCUAGUGGUCAUCUUUUUUAAAAAAAGAAAAAAAUGUUACUGUUCUAAGAGCACAAUGUUGAUAUGUCGAGAAUAGAUUUCAACUAAAUUAUAGCAGUAUGGUUGUAGUCUAUUUAAAGUAGUACCCAAGAACCAAACAAUGCCAUGUAAAUAGAUUUAAUGAUGUGUCUAGGAUAAUUUUCUCUUGAAUUGAAGAAUUUGAGCAUGGGUUUGGUUGUGAUGGCUACAGUGCCAGUGAUGGACUCAGGAUUUGAACCUAGAGUAAAUUUGAUAUAUAAUACUAUCAAUAAUUUGGUACCACAUAUAUAAUUUCCAUCAAUUCGGUAUAUGAGCAGAAAAUAACAAAAAAUGUCUGAUAAUGCAUUUAAUUCAUCAAAUUAGAUUGCAAGUUGUAUAGAUUUGUUUCAUUUGGCCUAAACACGGAGGAAUAGUUUGUUUUUAACUAAAUUCCAGGGUAGUUAAGGGCCUACCUAGAUUAUCCCUUGGGUCAUGGCUAGCAGGGGAUCCUUCUGUCGGGCAGCAGGCUGCCCGGCGGUGAGAUUCCACCGGAGUCGUACGGUUCUCCUCGAGGACGUGGCUCAUGAAUGCACAAGCCUUGACCGAUUGUGCCGCAUGUCUGAAGGCAGCGGAUGUCUUACAAAGCAAGCUUGAGCAUCCCUGAGAAAGAGCAUGAAGCCAAGAACGGUGUCGAGUAGGUUGUCAGUUCUUGCAUGGUGGAACACUGCUACUUGCUGCUCUGCUGAUUCUCCUGCUUGCUGCUACUGCUGAUACAAGAGUAGUAGCAGCCAUGUUGUAAUGAAUAUAGACUGUAAAUUGAUUUCAGUUGAGAUUAUGUAUGAAUGUUAACUGUGAAAAAAAAAAAAAAAAAAAAAAAAAAAAAAAAAAAAAAAA
rnacentral:lncRNA from 1 species